CAAUAGCGUAUAUUUAAGUUGUUGCAGUUAAAAAGCUCGUAGUUGGAUUUCGGUUAAGAGCGACCGGUCCGCCGUUUGGUGUGCACUGGUUGGUUUUAACUUCCUGUAGAGGACGUGCUCUGGGUUUAACGACCUGGACUCGGAGUCUACGUGGUUACUUUGAAAAAAUUAGAGUGUUCAAAGCGGGCUUACGCUUGAAUAUUUUAGCAUGGAAUAACACUAUAGGACUCCUGUCCUAUUUCGUUGGUCUCGGGACGGGAGUAAUGAUUAAGAGGAACAGUUGGGGGCAUUCGUAUUUCAUUGUCAGAGGUGAAAUUCUUGGAUUUAUGAAAGACGAACUUCUGCGAAAGCAUUUGCCAAGGAUGUUUUCAUUAA
rnacentral:rRNA from 1 species